AGUGACAAUAAAUAACAAUGUAGGGCUCUUAUGGGUCUUAUAAUUGGAAUGAGUACAAUUUAAAUCCCUUAACGAGGAUCAAUUGGAGGGCAAGUCUGGUGCCAGCAGCCGCGGUAAUUCCAGCUCCAAUAGCGUAUACUAAAAUUGUUGCCGUUAAAAAGCUCGUAGUCGAACUUCGGCCUUUGCCGCCCGGUCCGCCUUUUUGGUGUGUACUGGAGCGGUGGAGGCCUACUUCGUGGUGAACGGCCAUGCUCUUUACUGGGUGUGGUCGGGAACCAUGACUUUUACCUUGAAAAAAUUAGAGUGUUCAAAGCAGGCUUACGCCCGAAUACAUUAGCAUGGAAUAAUAAAAUAAGACGUGCGUUCUUAUUUUGUUGGUUUCUAGGAUCGCCGUAAUGAUUAAUAGGGAUAGUUGGGGGCAUUCGUAUUCAAUCGCUAGAGGUGAAAUUCUUGGAUUGAUUGAAGACGAACUACUGCGAAAGCAUUUGCCAAGGAUGUUUUCAUUGAUCAAGAACGAAGGUUAGGGGAUCGAAAACGAUUUAAUAUGGUAUUUGGUCGUUGAAAGGGCUUCCCACCCUAGUCCACAGCGCGUGGGCAACACCGUCAAGUUGCGGGGACACCCUUAGAGCUCUCACUACCAAGCUACGCCUGCAAAGGUGCAGUGGCCAGUCUAGUACUGGGUAAGGUAAUAACGUGAGAGAUUGGGCGAUCCGCAGCCAAGGCCUUGGUACGUACGUACCGAGGCUGCAGUUCACAGACUAGAUGUCGGUGGGUUCGAGUGAAUCGAGCUUAAGAUAUAGUCGAAUCCCUUUGGAAACUCUGGGUAUUCAAUGCAGAUACCGUUGUAGUCUUAACAGUAAACGAUGCCGACUAGGGAUCGGACGAGGAUUUUUAAUGACUCGUUCGGCACCUGAAGAANAAUCUUUAAGUCUAGGUUCGGGGGGGANUAUGGUCNCAAGGCUGA
rnacentral:rRNA from 1 species